UGUUUGAACUCAUUCAACAUCCAACUUUUCUCGCAACAGAAUCAAAUUUUAAGGGACCUUUUAGAAAUAAUUUACACUUUUAUUAAUUUUCCAUUCAAAAAAAAACAAGCAACAAUGGUCACUUUUGGCGGUGUGGCGAAAGUAUUGAAGGGCUUUCAAAACGGCGCAAGCAUCUGGGUGAAAACCGUGAAUCCUGGCUGGUACGAGGCCCGAGUGUUACCCAGGACCAUGUUGAGAGAAAAGAAACCCAAAAGAGUAGUCGAAUCGAACAAGGAAGUGCGGCCCGUUCGCCAACCUCCCAAGACCGCCAUGGCGCUACAGAAAAGCGUAACCACGCAGUAUCCGUUUAUCGAUUGGGAUUGAAACAGAAAAAGAAUAAAUUGUUUUUAAAAUCGUGAAUUUCAAACCGAUGUGUAGUGUGGGGUUGUCUUGGAACAGAUAUAUAAUAUUUCCGGCUAACUAGGUUGUUCUGGCGGAAAAUUAAAAUUGAAAACCAAAAAAACCGUCAGCCUAAAAUUUUAAUUGCUUUUCCAAGCCUUUCAUGGGAAAUCUAAAAAAAGAAAUAUACAGUAACAUAAUAAAGAUUUGGCGUAUACAAUAGUCUCAGUAUACUUUUUAAA
rnacentral:misc_RNA from 1 species